UGAAUACGAGAUGCUACGGCGUCGAAGCAGUCUAUGUCAUACUUCCAAGAAAAGCUUGCACUGUCAUAAACAAAUAAUGCCUGUACCAUAACCGACACAGGUGGGUAGGUAGAGUAUACUAAGGGGCGCGAGAUAACUCUCUCUAAGGAACUCGGCAAAAUGACUCCGUAACUUCGGGAGAAGGAGUGCCUUAUUUUAUAAGGUUGCAAUAACAAGAUCCAAGCAACUGUUUACCAAAAACACAGGUCUCCGCUAAGUCGUAAGACGAUGUAUGGGGGCUGACGCCUGCCCAGUGCCAGAAGGUUAAAGAAGUUGGUUAGCAUCCGCGAAGCUGAUAACUGAAGCCCUGGUGAACGGCGGCCGUAACAAUAACGGUCCUAAGGUAGCGAAAUUCCUUGUCGGGUAAGUUCCGACCCGCACGAAAGGCGUAAUGAUUUGGAUACUGUCUCAGAGAGGGGCUCGGUGAAAUAGACUUGUCUGUGAAGAUGCGGACUACCUGCACCAGGACAGAAAGACCCUAUGAAGCUUUACUGUAACUUGAAAUUGAAAUUGGACUUUACUUGCGCAGUAUAGGUGGGAGGCGUUGAGAAUAUUCUUGCGGGAAUGUUGGAGCCAUCAGUGAGAUACCACUCUUGUAAUGUUAGAUUUCUAACUUUGUAUCAUUAUCUGGUCAAAGGACAGUUUCAGGCGGGCAGUUUGACUGGGGCGGUCGCCUCCCAAACGGUAACGGAGGCGCACAAAGGUUUCCUCUGAACGGGUAGAAAUCGUAUCUAGAGUGUAAAGGCAUAAGGAAGCUUGACUGUGAGACCUACAAGUCGAGCAGGGACGAAAGUCGGUCUUAGUGAUCUGACGGUGCUGAGUGGAAAGGCCGUCACUCAACGGAUAAAAGUUACUCUAGGAUAACAGGCUGAUCUCCCCCAAGAGUUCACAUCGACGGGGAGGUUUGGCACCUCGAUGUCGGCUCAUCGCAUCCUGGGGCGGUAGUACGUCCCAAGGGUUGGGCUGUUCGCCCAUGAAAGCGGUACGCGAGCUGGGUUCAGAACGUCGUGAGACAGUUCGGUCCAUAUCCGGUGUAGGCGUUAGAAUAUUGAGAGGAGCCUUCUUUAGUACGAGAGGACCGAGAAGGACAUACCUCUGGUGUACCAGUUAUCGUGCCAACGGUAAACGCUGGGUAGCUAUGUAUGGAGUGGAUAACCGCUGAAAGCAUCUAAGUGGGAAGCCCACCUCAAGAUAAGUAUUCAC
rnacentral:rRNA from 1 species